GUGAGUGAAGGUCACGUGGCUGUCACUGCGCACAGCCAAUCAGAAGGCACUGUGAAAACAGCGCCCACUCCCUGCCACGAAAUGGCAGCUGACACAAAAUGGCGGCUCCCAGUGUAUGCAAGGGGACGGGCUUCCUGUUCAAUGAACCAAUGGGAGAGCUGGAGGUGUGGGCUGGUUCUGGCAGCCAAUCCCACCAGGGACGGCCUCUCUGUCUGGCAGCCAGUGGCAGGGAAGGCAGCACGUGGAGCUGGAGGUUGUGCCUGCUGCAGCUCUGCUCAGCUGAGCCACGUGGGCCCCUGUUCCUGAGAAAAGUUGCUGCAGUCUCCACUGUGUUAUCUUGCAGGUGUUUUUCGGUAACUGCCAUAACUGUUUCUGUAUGUUUGGAAAGCAGUGAAUGGAGAAUUAUCUACCGUUUCUAUGUGUCCACAGUAACUCCAUUCUCAACUGUCUGUGUAAAUACCAAGAAUAUACAGACAGGUGUAUUUCUUUGCUUUGAUAGUUUGAGAUCUAAAUUGAAAUUUUCAGGAUGUCUGUGAAUUAACAACUUUUCUUUCUAGGCGGUCCUGUUUUGGGAGAUAUCUUAUCAGUGGCAUUAUUUCUGUCAUUUAAGUAAUCCUGUGAUGUGUUGUGUUGGAGCGGAUGCUGCUGCUGCUUGGGCUCGUCUAUUCUUUGUAAUCUCUGCUUUUGACACUUCAUUCUUUUAGUUACCAGAUAAAGAGUUGCAUGUAUCAGCCAGCAUUGGUAUGUGUUAAUGUCUGUAGAAUUACUUUUUGUAACUUCUGUAGACACAGGAAAGCGGAUGAUGUGGUACUUGUUCAGUUUUUAUUCCCUGUAAUGUUUCAGUUUAAUAUAAGUGUUGUGGCUUUCUGCUUUUUGCAGGUGGUACAGCAGCUGCAUUCUGUUGGUGGGCAGAAUAAAAUUUCUCUGUUUACUUUAACAUUUACCAUCUUUUUUUUUCUUUUUUUUUUCUGUUUUUCUGUACUGUUUUUCAACAUAUUAAACCUUAUUAUACAAACCUAUAGAGGACUGGGGCAUCAC
ensembl:lncRNA